CCUACGGGUGGCAGCAGUGGGGAAUAUUGGACAAUGGGGGAAACCCUGAUGCAGCGACGCCGCGUGAGGGAAGAAGUAUUUCGGUAUGUAAAGCUCUAUCAGCAGGGAAGAAAAUGACGGUACCUGACUAAGAAGCCACGGCCAACUACGUGCCAGCAGCCGCGGUAAGACGUAGGGGGCAAACGUUAUCCGGAUUUACUGGGUGUAAAGGGAGCGUAGGCGGCAGAACAAGUCUGAAGUGAAAGCCCGCGGCCCAACUGCGGGACUGCUUUGGAAACUGCCCGGCUAGAGUGCUGGAGAGGUAUGCGGAAUUCCUAGUGUAGCGGUGAAAUGCUUAGAUAUUAGGAGGAACACCAGUGGCGAAGGCGGCUUACUGGACAGUAACUGACGUUGAUGCUCGAAAGCGUGGGGAGCAAACAGGAUUAGAUACCCGAGUAGUC
rnacentral:rRNA from 1 species